UUUCCGUAGGUGAACCUGCGGAAGGAUCAUUAUUGUAUAACCGAGGUGCGAGGGCUGUCGCUGACCCGAAAGGUCGUGCACGCCCGAGUGCCCUCACACACAUCCAUCUCACCCCUAUGUGCACCACCGCGUGGGUCCCCCUUUGGCUUGUUCGGAGGGGGGCUUACGUUUUCACACAAACUUUGUAUGCAGUGUAGAAUGUAUUUUUUGUUUUUGCGAUCACGCAAUCAAUACAACUUUCAACAACGGAUCUCUUGGCUCUCGCAUCGAUAACGCAGC
rnacentral:misc_RNA from 1 species